ensembl:lncRNA
CAGAGACUAUGGGUUGAGGAGGAAUUGGAAGUUUGUCGGCUUAGACCUGGUGUCAUUCCAUCAGUGUUAAACUUCCCGGCUCAUCUUGGAAGAGUAUGUGCCAGAAAGACCACAACCAAGCAGCCUUGAGAUCUUAGGCAGCGUCUCCCUCAGACCAAAGAACUACAGACUCUUCACAACCUGCUCAAACUCUUGGUACAGGACCUCACCACACGGGUCAAGAAGGUUUCUGUCUCAUUUCUACUCUGAAGCUCACCUUCUCCUGCUCAAACUGCUGACAAAUGUUUCUGC